rfam:Schistosoma curassoni strain Dakar, Senegal genome assembly, scaffold: SCTD_scaffold0019536
GCCAACGGCCAUACCACGUUGGAAGCACCGGUUCUCGUUCGAUCACCGCAGUUAAGCAACGUUUUGAUAGUGGUUUCUUAAAUCUCAUUCUCUUUUAAAGAAUAACAGAUGGAA